CUGAGGCAGAGAGCCUGGGGCAAUCGCUAGAAGAGGUGAAAACCUCAUUCAGCUCUGCCAGGGGUUAGCUCAGACACCAGGGACGCCAAUUCAAACAUCAGCCUUGUUCAUUCUGUCACUGCUGGUGUGAGGAAGCAGAGGGAAGGUCACUGAUCCACACAUUCUCCUGGGAGCCAGGCCUCGUUUUGGGGACACACGGGCGGAGCUUAUUUUUGUGGGUGGGGCUUAUAUUUAUGGGUGGAGCUUAGAC